rnacentral:rRNA from 1 species
UACGGAGGGUGCGAGCGUUGUCCGGAAUCACUGGGCGUAAAGGGCGCGUAGGCGGCGCGGGAAGUCCGUGGUGAAAGCCCGAGGCUCAACUUCGGGUCGGCCAUGGAUACUCCUGGGCUUGAGCACUGUAGAGGCAGGUGGAAUUCCGGGUGUAGCGGUGGAAUGCGUAGAGAUCCGGAAGAACACCGGUGGCGAAGGCGGCCUGCUGGGCAGUAGCUGACGCUGAGGCGCGAAAGCGUGGGGAGCAAACAGG